rnacentral:rRNA from 1 species
AACCUGGUUGAUCCUGCCAGUAGUCAUAUGCUUGUCUCAAAGAUUAAGCCAUGCAUGUCUAAGUACAAGCCUCAGUAAGGUGAAACCGCGAAUGGCUCAUUAAAUCACACCUAAUCUACCGGAAAGUAACCAGUUACUUGGAUAACUGCGGUAAUUCUGGAGCUAAUACAUGCAACAAGCCCCGACUCACGGAGGGGCGCUUUUAUUAGAUCAAAACCAAACGGCUUCGGCUGUCUCGCUUGGUGACUCUGAAUAACUUUGGGCUGAUCGCAUGGCCUUGCGCCGGCGACAUUUCCGUCGAAGGUGUGCCCUAUCAACUGUCGACUGUGGCAUAGACGCCCACAGUGGUUUUGACGGGUAACGGGGAAUCAGGGUUCGAUUCCGGAGAGGGAGCCUUAAAAACGGCUACCACAUCUAAGGAAGGCAGCAGGCACGCAAAUUACCCAAUGACCGAAGGUCGAGGUAGUGACGAAAAAUAACGAUAGCGGACUCAUCCGAGGCCCAGUAAUUGGAAUGAGUACACUUUAAAACCGUUCCCGAGGAUCUAUUGGAGGGCAAGUCUGGUG